rnacentral:rRNA from 1 species
AACGAACGCUGGCGGCAUGCCUAACACAUGCAAGUCGAACGAGACCUUCGGGUCUAGUGGCGCACGGGUGCGUAACGCGUGGGAACCUGCCCUUAGGUUCGGAAUAACUCCCCGAAAGGGGUGCUAAUACCGGAUAAUGUCUUCGGACCAAAGAUUUAUCGCCUUUGGAUGGGCCCGCGUUUGAUUAGCUAGUUGGUAGGGUAAAAGCCUACCAAGGCGACGAUCCAUAGCUGGUCUGAGAGGAUGAUCAGCCACACUGGGACUGAGACACGGCCCAGACUCCUACGGGAGGCAGCAGUGGGGAAUAUUGGACAAUGGGCGAAAGCCUGAUCAAGCAAUGCCGCGUGAGUGAUGAAGGCCUUAGGGUUGUAAAGCUCUUUUACCCGGGAUGAUAAUGACAGUACCGGGAGAAUAAGCUCCGGCUAACUCCGUG